rnacentral:rRNA from 13 species
AAAUUGAAGAGUUUGAUCAUGGCUCAGAUUGAACGCUGGCGGCAGGCCUAACACAUGCAAGUCGAACGGUAACAGGAAGCAGCUUGCUGCUUCGCUGACAAGUGGCGGACGGGUGAGUAAUGUCUGGGAAACUGCCUGAUGGAGGGGGAUAACUACUGGAAACGGUGGCUAAUACCGCAU